rnacentral:tRNA from 1 species
CUGGCGAUAAUCGGUGUCGUUGCGAUAUUCCUUGCUGAGGAAUUCGUGCUGGGUGUUGGUAUAGGCGACGUCGCGCAGCACGACGAUGCCCGAC